GGGUGCGAUCAUACGAGUGUUUGUGCACCUGACGUGAUUAGAACUCAGUAGUAAAGUGUGCUUGGUCCAGAGUUGUACUGGGAUGGGUGACCUCCCAGGAAGUCCUAGUGUUGCACCCUC
rnacentral:rRNA from 1 species